GUAUUACUAGAUGGUCACACAACAGACUAUUUGUUUCUUGGAAAUUUCAUUUAUACAUAUGUGAUAGUUACUGUUUGUCUGAAAGCUGGUUUGGAGACAAUGUCUUGGAAUAAAUUUAGUCAUAUAGCAAUUUGGGGAAGCAUAAUAAUAUGGCUGGCAUUUUUUGCAAUUUACUGUUUCAUUUGGCCCACCAUUCCUCUUGCUUCCGAUAUGACAGGACAGGUCACUAUGGUGAUGGCUUGUCCACACUUCUGGCUGGGUUUUUUCAUAGUCCCUACUGCAUGCCUAAUUCAAAAUGUAUUAUUG